ensembl:lncRNA
GGGCCAUUGCAGUUAAUUCAUUGUCAUAAUUAUGGCUGCUCGUUAGGUAACAGAGCUUGUGCCACACAUUUGACAUAUUCAACCUGUUAUCCAAUUCAUGACACUGUGACGAGGUAGUUGUCAUUCCCAUUUGGAGAUGAGAAAACUAAAGCAUCAAGUUGGGAAUUGUUUGCCUGAGAUCACACAGCUAGGAAGCUAUAUAGGAAAGAUUUGAAUACCAGUACGACUGACUGCGGGGCUUCCCUGGUGGCUCAGUGGUAAAGAAUCCACCUGCUGAUGCAGGAGCGUAGGAGAUGCAGGUUUGAUCCCUGGGUUGGGAAGAUCCCCUGGAGGAGAGCAUGGCAACCCACUCCAGUAUUCUUGCCUGGAGAAUCCCAUGGACAGAGGAGCCUGAUGCGUUACAGUCCAUAGGGUCACAAAGAGUCGGAUAUGACUGAAGCGACUUAGCAUGCAUGCAUGCAUAACUGGCUUCAAAGUCCACCUUCCUUUAACCAUUAACAACAGAGCUGGGAGUGGCAUCCAGAGCCAGGUUCACGCUUGGUAAUGCUUUUCACUCAGGUAAACUUUGAGUAUAUUCAGUGAUUUAUUCGCUUUUUUAUUUUUCUGAGGACCCACUAUGACCAGAUCUUAGGCUAGACCCUAAGGAUAUCAACAGUUAAUAAGUGCAGAUUCUCAAUCUCCUGGAUCUUAAAGUAUAAUGGAAUGAUUGACACUUGAACAGGAAAAUUACAGUACAGCGUGGGGGAUUCUUCUACCACUGAGUCACCUGGGAAGCCCAAUUCGCAUCUACCAACCCAGCAACCUGAAACUCCCAGUUCGUCCCUCUCCAUCCUCCUCUCCCCUUGGCAAACACAAGGCUGUUCCAUGUCUAUGCACACUCAAUUUCUUGUGUGAAAGCCUUGGCAAGCUCAGGUUUUCUAUAUGACUUAAUUAUCUGGGAACAUCUUUAUCUUGCCUCUGGCUUAGCUGGAAGUUGACGGAUUCUGGAUAGAAAUCAAAGACCCUUUCCCAUCCAAUUAGCCCUCAAUAAAACUAUUGUUGAAAAAGAAACAUUAAUGCAUCUAUUAAGUCACUCUUGAUUUAAUUAAUUUUAUUUGCUUAUUUAUUUUCAACUAUUUCACCUCGUGCAG